rnacentral:lncRNA from 1 species
CCAUAGGAGUUGUGCCUUUAGGAGUUUUAAGAAGUUAUUUAGGAGUUUUAAGAAGUUAUUUAAGAAGUGACCUCCAGGUCACAAAGAUAUUCUUCUAUGUUGUUUUCUAAUAACUCACAGAGAGGACAGGAGCAUGAGGCUCAGGUUCCUCCCAACAGAAGCCCCACGCUUUAGGAAUUGCAGAUGGACAUGGAGGAUAAAGAGUUUUGUUUUUUCUCCUUCAGAGGACCUCAUAAGCCAAGGGGAAGGCAACUAGGCAGAGAGGGCUUUAAUUAAAUUUUCUAUUUUUUAAUUUUUCUGAACUUCAGGGGUGCUCAUACUUCGCAUGAUGGAGGGAAUAGUUAAUGAGUGCAGGUUUCCCCCAGGAGGGCUGCCACCACAACGGCUUGAGAUGAGGCGGCCAGCAGCCCCCAUCUCUACUCCAGUCUGAUAAGCUGUGGUGUCAGGCACAGAGGCACCUGUGAAGUUGGAAGACAGUGGAAAGGAAGAAGGUGACAGCCUGUGCUGUCAUGAUAAUGUCAUGGUAUGGAGGGCCCUGGCCUCCGUCGUAGGGGGCCCAUGUGAAGGGUUGGCCUCCAUGGCCUGUGAGCAGGAGCCUGGCUCAGGGAACCUGGGGCCUCUAUUCUUGGCUGGGCUUUGCUUCCUGGGGCCAUCCCUUGAACACAUCACUCCUACAUGAUGAUGAAUUCUAGAAAAUUAAAGCAGGGCAGGGGGAGUUUGAAUGUCACCCUUUUUCUUACUGAUGAGGAAACAGACCCAGAAUGAGGAAGCAGCUUACGGAAAAUUGCAUGGUUUGUGGGCUGGAGACCCAGGGCCAGGGCUCCAGCUGCUUCACCUGGAAAAAUCCUGGACUUUGGAGACAGACAGUCCUGGGUUUGAACCUAGCUCUAAGAGCCAUUUAUUAAAUAAUUUCACAAAUAAAGGUGAUGUUUGCCACCAUGGUCAGUGCUUUAAGUGAAUCUACUCAGAGCUGUGAAAUCUUGGGGGAAUUUGACCCAGUCACAGUUGAGAGAAGGUUCUGGAAGGAUAUGGGCUAAGGUCUACAGAUGAAUAAAAGUUAAGCUGGUAGAGAGGGAAGAGCUUGUAGGAUGGACAGAGGGAUGGUUGGAUGAGUGACAUGAGCCUGAGUUUAAGAGGUUGACUAUUUCUUCACCCUGUCCUCUCUCUUAGCCUGUGAAGGCUUGCUGGUAAAUUGCUAAAUCUGGCAGAGAAUGAGGAAAGGAAGAUCUCUUUCCCUGGCUAUCAAUUGUUUGAGUGUUUCACUUAAAGUUGAGCACCUGUUCUAUUGAAGUGCCCACCUCUGUUCCUCUCCAUUUCUUUGAACCCUAUCACUGGUCCUUGGGAAGGGUAAAUGCAAAAGAAAAAAAAAGUGAAAGCAGUGUUAAUCAUGCUGAAAUGUAAUGCGCCCCUCUGAACCUUGGAAGAUGAGAAAUUAUACAUGCUGAUUUCAUCCGCUACUUAACUCAGGGGGUGACAGGCUGCAAUUGAAGAGGCUUUGGCAGGUUAAGUGCUGCAAACCCUUGCCCAGGCUCUUAAGCAUCUCUCGGAAACCUCUGAGACUCGUUGGUAAUUUGGUGGUGUCAUUUGGAGUGACUCCUGGCCCUGCCAGCUGCAGGGACAGUUCCCAGUUAAAAAAAAAAUGAUUUCAUUCUCAGCUAGGAUGUGGUCUGUUCUUUUUUUGUCUGGGGACCGGAGACUGUUAAGGGAAAAGAGAGUGGGGAGGAGAUUCUGCAAAGAAAUAAAAGCAGACAAGAAUGGGCUUGUGUACAUUGCAACCACCAAAGCCCCCUCAACAAAGCUUCAUCAUUACUGGAAUCAGGAAAGAAAAGGGAGAAAACUAACAUUUAUUUGACAUUUACUGUGUACCAAGUACCUGUCAUUCCUGAACGUAUUGACUCCACACAUCUCCGCGAGACAGCUGUUGUUAUGUGGAGAAAUUAGGCUAAUUAAUUUGCCCACUACGAUGAUGACAACAAUGAUGACGAUGGUGAUAAAAGCUUAUAUUUAUAUGGCAGAGACUAUUAUAAACUCCUUAUCUGCAUUAUUCACUCCUCACAAUAACCCUGUGGGAUGAGGAAAGUGUGAUUGUCAGGGCUUAAGUGGCUUUCCCAAAAAAGUUACCAGGAGAAGGAAAGUGAAGCGGAUUUUUAGAAUUCCAGCUCCAGCUCUCCUUUGCUUCCCUAUAAUGAAAGCAGGUGACUGACACCAAGAACUUGGCUUUGGGAACAGGGACAUGGUAGAUCUUUUUGCAGAGAUGGCAAUAACAGUAAUAAAUAGUAAUUACUAAUUACUCGUAAUAGAAUAAGCGUGUGUAUGUGGUGGGAGGUGGGGGUUGAAGCAGCAGUUUCAAUGAGUGUUCAAUAAACACAUGUUUAUUACUAUUCCUAAGGCUACCGCUGCUGCAGCUGAAAAUGAGUGCCUA